UACGGGGGGGGCAAGCGUUGUUCGGAAUUACUGGGCGUAAAGGGCUCGUAGGCGGCCCUCUCAGUCGGAUGUGAAAUCCCCAGGCUUAACCUGGGAAUGGCAUCCGAUACUGGAGGGCUUGAAUUCGGGAGAGGGAUGCGGAAUUCCAGGUGUAGCGGUGAAAUGCGUAGAUAUCAGGAGGAACACCUGCGGUGUAGACGGCUUUCUGGACCAUUACUGACACUGAGACACGAAAGCGUGGGUAGCAAACAGG
rnacentral:rRNA from 1 species